rnacentral:lncRNA from 1 species
GCAUAUUUUUCAGCCUAGUGUCAACAACAGUUUGUAACAGCUCUUUCCAUGUUGUAUUUGCCUUAGGUUUGCAAACUCCUAGCUCAUGAAGAAGGAACCUGACUUCACUUCUCAGCUUCAGGCUGCUGAGAUUCUUCCACUGACUCUAAACAGUGAGUUCCACAGUCAUGUAUGCACUGAACAGGCACUUCUUAGUGAGCUGCUGUGAUAGCCUACAAAUCUUUUCACUGAAAUGUGAAAUGUUGAUCAGAAAUUAUUGACUUGUAGCGAGGAUUUCUGAAUCUACUGCACCCAAAAGGAAUCUCCCAGCCUAGGAUAUGAGUCAAGCUGCUGUGUCUGUGCCAUGCAUAUCACUGUCAGUCUUCCAGAGCUGAAGAUGAAACUUCUCCAGAAGAUCAGAGACAUGCUUUUUCUGAGACCUGCAGUGUAGCAGGAGACUACGGAAGAUUCUUCAGAGUGGAUGCCAUGUGCUUCAUGGAUCUCCUGCAGUCUGGCUCAUUCAGUCCUGAAGAAGUAGUUCAGAAGAAUUUCUAUUCAUCCAGUUGUCUUCUAUUAUGUUUCCAUAUGCAAAGGCACCAUUCUUAUCCUCAUUAGCAGACAUCCAACCAUGACAGGAGAAAAGGCAAGACUAUAUGUGGCAGAGCAUUCCCAGAUCGGAGAGGUAAUUCCAGUGUUUGGGGGAGUGGGGAACACAUGAGGUGGAAAGCUCACUCUUUG